rnacentral:rRNA from 1 species
UACGGAGGGUGCGAGCGUUGUCCGGAAUCAUUGGGCGUAAAGGGCGCGUAGGUGGCGCGGGCAGUCAACGGUGAAAGUCCGGGGCUCAACCUCGGAUCGGCCGUGGCGACUCGUGGGCUGGAGCACUGUAGAGGCGGGUGGAAUUCCGGGUGUAGCGGUGGAAUGCGCAGAUAUCAGGAGGAACACCGGUGGCGAAGGCGGGUCUCUGGGCAGUAACUGACGCUGAGGAGCGAAAGCGUGGGGAGCGAACAGG